rnacentral:rRNA from 1 species
CUACGGGACGCUCCAGUCGAGAAGCUUCCGCAAUGGGCGAAAGCCUGACGGAGCGACGCCGCGUGUGUGAAGAAGGUCUUCGGAUCGUAAAACACUGUCAGGAGGGACGAAACACGGAUUGGCUAAUACCCUUUCCGCUUGACGGUACCUCCAGAGGAAGCUCCGGCUAACUCCGUGCCAGCAGCCGCGGUAAUACGGGAGGGAGCAAACGUUGUUCGGAAUCACUGGGCGUAAAGGGCUCGUAGGCGGCUUCCUAAGUCGGUGGUGAAAACCUGUGGCUCAACCACAGGCCUGCCCCCGAAACUGGGAAGCUUGAGGCUGUGAGGGGAGAGGGGAAUUCCUGGUGUAUCGGUGAAAUGAGUUGAUAUCAGGAGGAACACCCGUGGCGAAGGCGCCUCUCUGGCACAGUACUGACGCUGAGGAGCGAAAGCGUGGGGAGCAAACAGGAUUAGAUACCCGAGUAGUC